rfam:Escherichia coli ISC11, WGS project CBWP01000000 data, contig: c25
GAAGUUUUAGGUUGGCACCGACAGGUUGCCACGGCACACGAAACAGCGUUGGUUUGUAUAUAAAAGCAUGCAGGCGAAGCCAGAUGGCUCCGCAAAAGUGCGUAUAUCAGGUCUGUUUCGUGUGCUGAAUUGUUGACGCAUUCAUUUAUUGGUAUCGCAUGAACCCCAUCGUAAUUAAUCGGCUUCAACGGAAGCUGGGCUACACUUUUAAUC